UGGGUAACCUGCCUCAAAGAGGGGAAUAGCCUCCCGAAAGGGAGAUUAAUACCGCAUAAUAUGUUUAGGUCGCAUGACUUUAACAUCAAAGGAUUUUCUUUUAGAAAUUCCACUUUGAGAUGGACCCGCGGCGCAUUAGCUAGUUGGUGAGGUAACGGCUCACCAAGGCAACGAUGCGUAGCCGACCUGAGAGGGUGAUCGGCCACAUUGGAACUGAGACACGGUCCAGACUCUACGGGAGG
rnacentral:rRNA from 1 species